rnacentral:rRNA from 1 species
GAGUUUGAUCCUGGCUCAGAACGAACGCUGGCGGCGUGCUUAACACAUGCAAGUCGAACGUGAUCCGGAGCUUGCUCCGGUGAAAGUGGCGCACGGGUGAGUAACGCGUGGAUAACCUGCCCUGGUAUCUGGGAUAACAUCUCGAAAGGGGUGCUAAUACCGGAUAAGCCUACGGGAUCUUCGGAUUCUGCAGGAAAAGGAGGCCUCUAUUUAUAAGCUUCCGUAUCAUGAUGGGUCCGCGUACCAUUAGCUAGUUGGUGGGGUAAUGGCCCACCAAGGCUACGAUGGUUAGCUGGUCUGAGAGGAUGAUCAGCCACACUGGAACUGAGACACGGUCCAGACUCCUACGGGAAGCAGCAGUGGGGAAUUUUGCGCAAUGGGGGAAACCCUGACGCAGCAACGCCGCGUGAGUGAUGAAGGCUUUCGGGUCGUAAAGCUCUGUCAGAGGGGAAGAAAUGAGUCUGGCUAAUAUCCAGAUUUCUUGACGGUACCCUCAAAGGAAGCACCGGCUAACUCCGUGCCAGCAGCCGCGGUAAUACAAGGGCGAMUUGGK